rnacentral:rRNA from 1 species
AAAACAACUCUCAGCAACGGAUAUCUUGGCUCUUGCAACGAUGAAGAACGCAGCGAAAUGCGAUACGUAGUGUGAAUUGCAGAAUUCCGCGAAUCAUCGAGUCUUUGAACGCAAGUUGCGCCCGAGGCUUGUCCGAGGGCAUUUCCGCUAGAGCGUCACCGCGCCCCCCCCCCCAACCCACCCACCCGCUCUCCUCGGAGAGCCGGGUGGAGUGAAAGUG